GAAACCUGGGCUAAUACCGCAUACAGCACCGGCUUGGAAGCCGGAUGUGAAAGCUGGCCUCUCGAAGAAGCUGGCACCAUCGGAUGAGCUCGCGGCCUAUCAGCUAGUUGGUGGGGUAACGGCCUACCAAGGCGAUGACGGGUAGCUGGCGUGAGAGCGUGGCCAGCCACACUGGGACUGAGACACGGCCCAGACUCCUACGGGAGGCAGCAGUGGGGAAUAUUGCGCAAUGGGCGAAAGCCUGACGCAGCGACGCCGCGUGGGGGAGGAAGGCCUCAGGGUCGUAAACCCCUGUCAGGUGGGACGAACCACCGAUCGGUCAAUACCCGGUCGGUCUGACGGUACCACCAGAGGAAGCUCCGGCUAACUCCGUGCCAGCAGCCGCGGUAAUACGGAGGGAGCUAGCGUUGUUCGGAAUCACUGGGCGUAAAGGGCGCGUAGGCGGUCGGGUAAGUCGAGUGUGAAAUUCCGGGGCUCAACCCCGCGAACUGCAUUCGAUACUGCUCGACUAGAGAGAGGUAGGGGCGAGUGGAAUUCCCGGUGUAGCGGUGGAAUGCGUA
rnacentral:rRNA from 1 species